ensembl:lncRNA
UGGCGGGGAUAGCACCGUUUAUUAAGAAAAAUCAAGACAAAGACCCUUCUAGGACCUGAGGUCAGGUGUCCCAAAGCCACAAUAUGGGGACUGCUGACCACCAGUUCCCCCAAGUCCCUGGGCCUUCACCUCCAGAAGAGUGGGGGAUGUGGUCUGGUGUGGUGAGACCUCAGUGCUGGGUGUUCCAGGGAGGAGCUGGGGGGGUUUCCCUUGCAGCCCUGAGGGGGGACCCUGGACUGUGUGUGGGUGGUGGGAAUGCAGAGGGAGGGAGUGGAGGUGGGGGAUUGGGAUGGAGCUGGUGGGGGGAAGAGCAAGCUGCCUUCUGCUCCACAGGGGGCGCUAUGGAGUUUUCCAGCCCAGGGUUGGGGGGGUAAGGGCAGGUGAUACCUCCUGUUCACUUAGCUGGUGGGCACCAGGUGGUGAGCUGAGAUGGUCCUCAGGAAGGAGGGCUGCCCAAGGGCUCCCAAAGUGGGUGGCCCAGUUCUUUGGGGGUUCCGUCAGGGCAUGAGGGGUUGGGAUAGAUCUGGGUCUACCCAGCCACCAUGCCUAACCUCAGUUCUUGGUGGCUUUCUGAGGCAACAGACCCUCCCACCUGCCCUGCCCACAGGCCUUGGUGCUUUUCCCAUGUGUGUGGGAAGCUGGUGUGCCCACCCUCCAGUCCAGCCCAGGGCAGUAGCAGCAAAGCAUGGCAUCGCUUCAGUUUCUUACAAAAAACUCAUAAUAAUAAUAUUAAUAAUAAUAUACUCGACAUUGUCAGGCUGGGCGUGGCCUGGGAGUCCAUGGGAAGCUGGCAAGUGCCUAUGAGGGGCAGGGGCGUGUGUUGGCUCCAGCCUGGGCACGGUGCUGCAGGUCUAGGGGUUGGGGCGGUGGUGCGCCAGGCCCAGCCGAGUGCAGCACUAGGUUCUUGAUACAGCCUGUGAUGCCUGAGGAGAACCUGCCUCUGGUCAGUGUGGCCACAUCUGGGGCGCCACCUGUGGGCAGGGGAGUGAGAGCGCUGGAGGGUUCCAGAAGCCCAGGAGGCCAGCAUUGCAGGACCACCGUGCCCUCCUUGCCCUUGGUGGGCUCCUCCCACCCCAGGCCAGCCCAAGACUUACCAAUGUACACCCUGCCUUUGGUGUUGACUGCCACAUUGGGGCCCGGGGACUGUCCGCUCACCAGCUCCUCGCCGUCAACCUGGAUGGAGCCUCUCCGGCCCUCUCUGCAGUGUGGCUGGGUCAGGCCCCCUGCCUGGCCUGGAUUCCCAUCCUUCCAGCCCACCCAUAAAACCCAUCCCCUUGGCAUGGAGACUCUGGACAGAUGAGCCAGGCCCAGCCCCUUGCACACCCCCCAAUCAUGGGCCUCACCCUGCAAACCCAGCUCUGGUUUGACCAGGGAGCUCCCCAACUCCAGUUUCCUGUUCUCUCACAGAGCUCAGUGGCCACUUCCCUGCCUGUGAUGGGGGCAUCCUAUCCCUCUGCAGGACUCUAGUCCUUUUUCCUAACGCCUGGCUGGGCUUGCUUACCGCAGCACUGCCACCCGGUGCCACUCGGCCGUCAUUGAUAGGGUCCUCAGAGACAAGGUGGGCCUCCCCACUGCCCAACUGGUAGCUGGAGUAACAGAGGCCCAUGAGUGCGAGCUGGUGCAGGACUGGUGGUAUGGAGCGGCGAGGGGGCGAGGUGAUAUGUGACUGGGGGACUGGCAGGGGCAGCUUCCCAU